rnacentral:rRNA from 1 species
AUUGAACGCUGGCGGCAUGCCUAACACAUGCAAGUCGAACGGCAGCACAGCAGUAGCAAUACUGUGGGUGGCGAGUGGCGGACGGGUGAGGAAUACGUCGGAAUCUGCCCAGUCGUGGGGGAUAACUAGCCGAAAGGUUAGCUAAUACCGCAUACGACCGAGAGGUGAAAGCGGGGGACCGCAAGGCCUCGCGCGAUUGGAUGAGCCGACGUCGGAUUAGCUAGUUGGCGGGGUAAAGGCCCACCAAGGCGACGAUCCGUAGCUGGUCUGAGAGGAUGAUCAGCCACACCGGAACUGAGACACGGUCCAGACUCCUACGGGAGGCAGCAGUGGGAAUAUUGGACAAUGGGCGCAAGCCUGAUCCAGCAAUGCCGCGUGUGUGAAGAAGGCCUUCGGGUUGGUUAAAGGACACUUUUAUUCUAGGAACGAAAAGACGUU